rnacentral:rRNA from 1 species
UGGGGAAUAUUGCACAAUGGGCGCAAGCCUGAUGCAGCAAUGCCGCGUGUGUGAAGAAGGCCUGCGGGUUGUAAAGCACUUUCAGUAGAGACGAAAAGCUUAGGGUUAAUAACCUUGAGUCUUGACUUAACCUACAGAAGAAGCACCGGCUAACUCCGUGCCAGCAGCCGCGGUAAUACGGAGGGUGCGAGCGUUAAUCGGAAUCACUGGGCGUAAAGCGCGCGUAGGUGGUUUGUCCAGUCGGAUGUGAAAGCCCCGGGCUCAACCUGGGAACUGCAUUCGAUACUAGCAAACUAGAGUGUAGUAGAGGGAAGUGGAAUUCCAGGUGUAGCGGUGAAAUGCGUAGAUAUCUGGAGGAACAUCAGUGGCGAAGGCGACUUCCUGGACUAACACUGACACUGAGGUGCGAAAGCGUGGGUAGCAAACAGGAUUAGAUACCCCCGUAGUCC